rnacentral:rRNA from 2 species
GGCCUGGCGGGGUGCCUAUACAUGCAAGUUCGAGCGAACUGAUUAGAAGCUUGCUUCUAUGACGUUAGCGGCGGACGGGUGAGUAACACGUGGGCAACCUGCCUGUAAGACUGGGAUAACUUCGGGAAACCGAAGCUAAUACCGGAUAGGAUCUUCUCCUUCAUGGGAGAUGAUUGAAAGAUGGUUUCGGCUAUCACUUACAGAUGGGCCCGCGGUGCAUUAGCUAGUUGGUGAGGUAACGGCUCACCAAGGCAACGAUGCAUAGCCGACCUGAGAGGGUGAUCGGCCACACUGGGACUGAGACACGGCCCAGACUCCUACGGGAGGCAGCAGUAGGGAAUCUUCCGCAAUGGACGAAAGUCUGACGGAGCAACGCCGCGUGAGUGAUGAAGGCUUUCGGGUCGUAAAACUCUGUUGUUAGGGAAGAACAAGUACGAGAGUAACUGCUCGUACCUUGACGGUACCUAACCAGAAAGCCACGGCUAACUACGUGCCAGCAGCCGCGGUAAUACGUAGGUGGCAAGCGUUAUCCGGAAUUAUUGGGCGUAAAGCGCGCGCAGGCGGUUUCUUAAGUCUGAUGUGAAAGCCCACGGCUCAACCGUGGAGGGUCAUUGGAAACUGGGGAACUUGAGUGCAGAAGAGAAAAGCGGAAUUCCACGUGUAGCGGUGAAAUGCGUAGAGAUGUGGAGGAACACCAGUGGCGAAGGCGGCUUUUUGGUCUGUAACUGACGCUGAGGCGCGAAAGCGUGGGGAGCAAACAGGAUUAGAUACCCUGGUAGUCCACGCCGUAAACGAUGAGUGCUAAGUGUUAGAGGGUUUCCGCCCUUUAGUGCUGCAGCUAACGCAUUAAGCACUCCGCCUGGGGAGUACGGUCGCAAGACUGAAACUCAAGGAAUUGACGGGGGCCCGCACAAGCGGUGAGCAUGUGGUUUAAUUCGAAGCAACGCGAAGAACCUUACCAGUCUUGACAUCCUCUGACACUCUAGAGAUAGAGCGUUCGCCUUCCAGG